rnacentral:rRNA from 1 species
AUGGACCAUUCCAUCCCUUUUUCCCGUGCAUAUGCAUCGGACUCGGAUGACGAUGGUCCCGAUGAACAAGUUGAUGCGGAGGGGUUCACGGUGAAGGAGGCCGAAGCUUUCGAGAAGGUAUUUGGUCAGGAUCAUCGGACUACAUUGUUCAAGGAUGUUAGUCUCCCGGAUGAAGCCAUGGUAGAUGGUGGCCAAUGUGUAGCUCUUGGGGUUAGGCCAAGCUCUCACCGUGAUUUGGUAGACGACAAGAACCGGAUUGCUAAAGGUUCUAAGUUCGACAGCUUGUUGGAUUUGAAGAUGUGGCUCGACAACUCUCGGUUACGCAUUAUCGUCCACACAAGGUGGUGCACUCGGACGUCAAUGUGCGCUACACGGUUGCAUGUGCAUGUGAAGAUGAAAAGGAGGUCCAACUUGGACUUACAAGAGGCCGUGGUGGUGGUAGAGGUCGUGGAAAGGAGGUCCAACAAGGAGUGGCAAGACGCCGUGGCGGUUGUCCGUGGAUUGUGCGUGCAAGACCAUGGAAAGGAGGUCCUACUUGGCAUGUAG